rnacentral:rRNA from 1 species
AAGUCGUAACAAGGUCUCCGUAGGUGAACCUGCGGAGGGAUCAUUACCGAGUGCGGGCCCCCGCGCCCAACCUCCCAACCCUUUGUCGAACCGUAACCGUUGCCUCGGGGGGCGACCCGGCCGCCGCGCCGGGGGGUCCCCCGCCGGGCCCGUCGAACCACGCUGCGUCUUUGCGUCGGAGUAUUGAAACCAAUCAAUCAAAACUUUCAACAACGGAUCUCUUGGUUCUGGCAUCGAUGAAGAACGCAGCGAAAUGCGAUAAGUAAUGUGAAUUGCAGAAUUCAGUGAAUCAUCGAAUCUUUGAACGCACAUUGCGCCCUUUGGCAUUCCGAAGGGCAUGCCCGUUCGAGCGUCAUUACACCCCUCAAGCCUCGCUUGGUCUUGGGCGCCGGGGUCCCCCCCGCGUCCCCAAUUCGUCGGCUGUCCGGUCGGAACCUCAGCGUUGUGGUCCAUCAAAUCGCUGGCGAGGACGACCGGGCGCGCCGUGAAACCCCCCCUCACAGGUUGACCUCGGAUCGGGUAGGGAUACCCGCUGAACUUAAGCAUAUCAAUAAGCGGAGGAAAAGAAACCAACAGGGAUUGCCCUAGUAACGGCGAGUGAAGCGGCAACAGCUCAAAUUUGAAAUCCGGCGCAAGCCCGAGUUGUAAUUUGUAGAGGAUGCUUCUGGGCAGCGGCCGGUCUAAGUCCCUUGGAACAGGGCGUCAUAGAGGGUGAGAAUCCCGUAUGCGACCGGCUGGCACCCUCCACGUAGCUCCUUCGACGAGUCGAGUUGUUUGGGAAUGCAGCUCUAAAUGGGAGGUAAAUUUCUUCUAAAGCUAAAUACCGGCCAGAGACCGAUAGCGCACAAGUAGAGUGAUCGAAAGAUGAAAAGCACUUUGGAAAGAGAGUUAAAAAGCACGUGAAAUUGUUGAAAGGGAAGCGCUUGCGGCCAGACUUGGGGGCGGUGUUCCGCCGGUCUUCUGACCGGUCCACUCGCCGCCCGCAGGCCAGCGUCGUCUGGGGCCGCCGGAGAAAGGCGGCGGGAACGUAGCUCCCCCGGGAGUGUUAUAGCCCGCCGCACAAUACGGCGCGCGCCGGGCGAGGUCCGCGCUUCGGCAAGGACGCUGGCGUAAUGGCCGUAAGCGGCC